rnacentral:rRNA from 1 species
UACGUAGGGUGCGAGCGUUAAUCGGAAUUACUGGGCGUAAAGCGUGCGCAGGCGGUGAUGUAAGACCGAUGUGAAAUCCCCGGGCUUAACCUGGGAACUGCAUUGGUGACUGCAUCGCUCGAGUAUGGCAGAGGGGGGUAGAAUUCCACGUGUAGCAGUGAAAUGCGUAGAGAUGUGGAGGAAUACCGAUGGCGAAGGCAGCCCCCUGGGUCAAUACUGACGCUCAUGCACGAAAGCGUGGGGAGCAAACAGGAUUAGA